GCUGUGUUGUACCUAGUGUUGAUAAAUUAGAAAUUUUCCUGCUAAGAUCAGAUAUAAGGUAAGGAGUUCCCUCUCACUAUUCCUUUUCAGUAUCAUACUGGAAGAAUUAAGAUUUAUAGAUUGGGAAGGAAUAAAAAAAAUGUCUUUGUACAAAAAUGGCAUGAUUAUGCAGAAAAUCCAAAAUAAUCAACAACAAAAAUUCUCUGUUGCAAGAUAAAAAGUUAAUAUAUAAAAUUCGAUCACUUUAUGCCAACAAUGAACAAGUGGAAUUUGAAAUUAAAAACACAAUACCAUUUAUGUUCACACCUGAAAAUUGAAAUACUUUAUUAUAAAUCUAUCAAAAUAUGUGCAAAACUCUAUGGGGAAAACUAUAAAACUCUGAUGGUUGAAAUCAAAGAGAUAGUAGUAAAUGGGGAAAUAUCCCAUAUUUGUGCAUAGGAUGACUCAGUAUUAUCAGGAUGUGAGUUCUUUUCAGAUCCAUGCAUGCAUGUAAUAUAAUCCCAAUCAAAAUCCCAGCAAGUUAUUCUAUGGAUAUGGACAAAGUGAUUUUAAAGUUUAGAUGGAGAAGACCCAGAGUAGCCAGCACAGUAUUGAAAGAGAAGACGAAGUUGAGGGACUGCCACCACCUGACUUUACAACUUAGAGUGAAGCUACAGCAGUGUGUACUGGUUGGUGAAAGCAUAGACAAAGAAGUCAAUGUCUCAGAAUAGAGAACUCACAACUAACCCCCAUAGUCAGCUGAUCUCGGGCAGAAGAGCAAAGGAUAAGGUGAUGGAACAAAGACAGCCUUUUUAACAAGUGAUGCUGGAAAAGCUGGACAUCUACAUGCAAAAAUGGACCUAAACACAGACCUUUCAGCCUUCACAAAGAUUAACUCAAAAUGGAUCAUAGACCUACAUGCAUAACACGAAACCGUAAAAUUUUUAGAAGGUAACAUAGGAGAAAACCUAGAUGACCUUGGGUAUGGCAAACUUUUUAGAUGCAAAACCAAAGGCAUAAUCCAUGAAAGAAACUGAUAAGCUGGAUUUCAUUAAAAUUCAAAACUUUCGCUCUACAAAGACAAUGUCAAUAUUAUGAGAAGACAGGCCAUGGACAGAAAAUAUUUGCAAAAAACACAUCUGAUAAAGGACUUUUCCAGAAUAUACCCAAAAACUCUUAAACCUCAACAAAAAGAAAGCAAACAACCUAAUUAACAAGUGGGCCAAAGACCUUAACAGACUCCUCACCAAAGGAGACAUGCAGAUGGCAAAUAAGCAUAUGCAAAGAUGCUCCACAUCAUAGGCCAUCAGGGAAACAGAAAUUAAGCAACGAUGAGAUUCCACCACCCAGUUGUUAGAAUGGCCACCAUCCAGAGCGCUGACAACGCCAACUGCCAGAGAGAGUGUGAGGCGACAGGAACUGUCACCCAUUGCUGGCGGGAAAGGAAAACGGUACAGCCACUUUGAAAGACAGCUUGGUGGUUCCUUACCAAGCUCUUAACAGACGAUCCAGCACUCACGUUCUUUGAUAUUUUCCCAAAGGAGGGGGGAAACUUAUGUCCACACAAAAACUCUGCACAUGGAUGUGUAUAGGAGCUUCAUUCAAAACUGCCCAAACUUGGAAACAACCAAGACAUCCUUCAUGAGGAGAGUGGUUGAAUAAACUGUGGUUCAUCCGGACAGUGGACUAUUUAUUAUUCAGUGCUAAAAGGAAAUGAGCUAUCAAGCCAUGAAAAGACUUAACCUGCAUAUAACUAAGUGAACGAAGCCAUUGUGGGAAGCCUACACACAUACUGUAUGAUUCCAACUUUGUGACAUUCUGGAAAAGGCAAAACCAUGGAGAAUGAAAAAAAAAAAUCAGUGACUGUCAGGGCUUGGAGGAUGGGGGAGGAAUGAAUGAAUUGCAGGAGCAGAGAAGAUUUUUAGGGCAGUGGAAAUCUGUAUAUACUGUAAUGAUAGAUACGUGUCAUUACACACUUGUCGGAACACAUGGAAUUGCAACACCAAGAGUGAACCCUAAUGUAAACUGUGGACUUUGGGUGGUUAUGUCGUGUCAGUGUUGGUUCAUCAGUGUGACAGAUGCACUACUCUCAUGGGGGACAUUGAUAAUAGGGAGGCUGUGCAGGGAGGGGGGUUGGGAGUAUAGGAGAAAUCUCUGUAUCUUCCCUUCAAUUUUGCUGUGAAUCUAAAACUCUUCUAAAAAAUUGUCUUCAUAAAAAAAAAAAAUCAUUCUCUGUAACAUUUAUUUCCUAGUUCUAGUCAUCUUAGUUUUCCUAGAUAUGUAUAUAGUUCAGAGGUAAAUUUACAAAUUGCACUUUUUUUUCCUUUUCUAAUUAGGAAUUAAAAUAAAUGUAGAGAAUGCAAGAAACUAUAAAAGUAUAUAAAGUACCUGCCUUUGCCAAGUUUUGUCCCGAGUGGAGAGUUUAUGGUUGGUUGCGCUGCCUGCUAUAAAGAAAACAGGAAUAAAAAGAAGCUUUAAAUUCUACUUGCCAAAAAAACAAGGGCUUUUGGGGGGAAGGGGAGAGUUUAGAUUCCAAGUCUAAAAUGUUUUAAAGCUGGAAUUUUUUUUGUUUUUUAUUGUUCAGUAUUUCUCUUUGCUUGUAGCUGAAACCAAGUUAUAAUAUCAUCUUGUGAAUUAUUGCUACCAAAAAGUAUGUUUCUCUUGCACUUUCUAUGUCCAGACUGGACACUUUGAAGUUGUGGUGGCUGCAUUUCUCAGCCUCUGGCUGUGAGAGGAAAGUGACAGCACAUUCUGCCACCACUGGACCCAGGGACUGGAGGCUGUUUUCAUUGUUAGCAUCACAGUAGAUUCAACAGCAGGAACCACAGCAACACUAAAAGCUCAGAGAAGGGUGCAGGCUACCCAAAGCCAGAGGGAGGAGUGCUUGAUUGCCAGGAAUACAAAAGGCUGUAAUUCAGAAUUUCCUGUCCAUGUCUUUCCCAGAGCAUGUCCCCAGACCCAAGAGAGUUCUUUUGCACUUUCUUUUCUUACUCUUCAAAUUCACUCAGAGAGCUCAUUCAUUCAGCCGCUCUGACACCUGCUGUGUAGCAGGCCCUGUGCCAGGUGCCGGCAUGAAAUGCCCUCAGUUUAUUUGCCCUGUGGUGAUUCCAUUAGACGUGCAGGUGACCUCAGGACACUGUGGGAGGAGGGAGAGUUGAAAGGCAUAAUGAGUGGGAGAAGGAAGACAGUUCAGGUAGCAGGAAAUUUUGUGCAAGUGACUAAAACAAGAGAGGGUAGUCUUCCAGGUGACAGGAUAAAGUCUUUCUGGCAGGACUGGGGGUGGGGGAGGGGAGGUAGUGAGACCUGUGGUAGUUAGAAGGGCUUCAGAAACCCCUGUGCUUAACUGGAGGGUAAGGAACCAGGGAAAUAUGGUGAAAUAGUUCUUUUACAUCCUUUGCCAUUGUCGACUGGGAUAAGUUUUUUGCACAUUUGGAAGUAAACAUGAAAUAACUGCCAACAUCUAGAGGUGGCUUGGAAAAUGCUGAAAACACAGUUCAUCUAGGGAUGGUGAGUCAUGGUAAAUUCUGAGAAUUGGGACCUGUCUUCCCAGUUUCUUGCAGAUGAUUACCGGCUAACAGAUAUUUGUUUUCGUACCCUCUCCUGAAGGUCAACUCAAGUAAUCAAAAUCACAAAAGAAACAUUCUGUUAACAACAAAAUAUUUUAACAUCUCAUUCUGUUUGUCUGAGAACACAAGCUGGAACGCUUUGCUUAAACACGAAACUAGCAAAUGCUGCGAUGCCUUUAUGUGCCUUCAAGCUGACACGUUACGAGCGCUUAUGAAACCUUUAGCUUCUAAAGGAAAUCAAGCAACAGAAUAAUGAGUAUUGUCUUUUAUUGUCUGGCUAGGCUGCAAAAUUGGAAGAAAAGAUAUGCUCAACUUUUACACUGAGCAGAUGCCUUCACAUAAGUCACUAUAGCUAUGUUGCUAUUGGAGAGAAGUUACGGCCCCAAGCAUUAUUGGACUGAUGAUGCAUCCAAGGCCAGUUGGGACCACACUGGAGCAACGAACUAGUCAACCAAAAGCCAGACCUUGGAAAAGAAGAGUAGCUAUUGUAGCAUGUGUAAAUCAUUAACCAGAUUCUCCUGAACUGGUUCGGCAUUCCUGAGAAUAAGAUGAAUGUCAGGAAAAUCUGUGUUUUCUGGCCACGAGGGGCCUCCCAGCUCACAGUAGCCCUAUGGAAAAAACAACUCCAACAGCUGUCCGUGCGUUCCAGGAAGAUUGGAGUCAAGGGCCUUUAAUGAAUGUUAAAAACAAGAUAAUUAUGCCUAAGCUGAGACACAGUUACAAGCCUAGUCAAUGCACGUGCUCUCAAAAUUCUCCAGUGGUAUAUCAUCUAGGGCACAAUUAUUGAGGUGAUAGCUUUCUCCAGGAUAAUAAAGAAAAAAGAAAAUCCUUAUUCUCCAGUCUGAAAAAUAAUGCAGAAAUGUGUCUUGGAAGUUUAUAUGCACUGCUAAGUUAAACAAUCAAGCACAACAGAAAUUGAAGAAACAUUGUAAAUACUAUAAUUAAAAAAAAAAUGCAUGUGGGUAAGACAAGCAGGCAAUAAAAAAAUAAAUAACAAAAGAUGAUCUUUCAAACGUGCCGAUGAAGAAAUAGCCAUGCUUCCUCUUCUUGGCUGUCACACCUCUCUUUUGGUAGAAGAUUGACAGUGAAGAGUCAUGUAAGCAGCACACUUCCGGCUGUCCGAGCACCCCUUGAGUUUGAUGGGGUGGGACCAAUGUUUAUGGGCACAAAGAUUCAGAUUUCCCGUGAUUUCCCUGCCCGAGUGUCCCAGACUCCAGCGAGGCUCAACGGCAGCACAAGUUCUGGCUCACCUGUGCCCCCCGGGCUGGCUUUUCUAUCAUCUCCACCUGGCGAACUCUUGCUGUUUAAAACCCACCUGAAAUAUCCCUUUAAAUAAGCUGUGCCUUCUGGCCCUCCCAUAGGCCGCCCAUUGUGUUCUGGCCCCGACCCCACUUGGUGCUGAGGCGUCUGGAAGGCAGAGACAGAGUCUCUGUCCGCCGCUGCAGGUGGGGAAUAUUGUGUUCUGAGUAAAAAGACAGAGACGCCAGUUCAUCCUGGGCUUGAGAUGAGAAAAGCAAAUACGGGACCUGAGUGUGUUUGAGCAGCUGCCGGACUGCGAAUGAGGAUAUGUUUUUCGUGUCUGAACAGAGAACCAUAUCUGGACGUGUCUCUUUUUUUCUUUUCUGAAGGCUAAUUAGAACGCAUCACCGCUAACAAAGAGUGAAAGCUGGAGGAUUCUGACUUGGCAGACUGGCUGUGCCUCUGGACAGUACACCAGCACCUGCUGGUAGCUGUUGAGCCGCCUGCCCCUCUCACCCCCGCCCCCCGCUCUGGCCCCACAAACACCAGCUCCCAGGCUCCCCUUCCUUGCCUUAGGGGGGCUUUGCCCAAGCCAGGCCUGGUGGGAGAUGGGGGCGGGUGGGCCCUGGGAUGUUUCUCUCUUUCUCUUUGGGAGGCGACUCUGGCAAUGGCUGCAUCUUGUUCACCCUCCGCAUUCAUCCUCCCAGCUCCCACCAGACAGCCCAGCUGCUGUACCUUCUUCCCUGUUGCCCAGCUCCCAUAAUUGGGACCCCCUAAAGCUGCUGAUGGCAAGGUGCUUCCUGCCCUGGUUCGGCAGGUCUGGCUUCCACCAUGUUUGCUGCUGGACCUCAGCAUUAAAAUCUCUCAGCGUUUAACUGCCAGGUGUGGGCUCUGUUUUCCUAACCUGACCCUGACCCUUGUAAAUGGCCAGUUAUAUGUUUAGCACAAACCAUACACCCAUUGCAACCUUCUAGUGGAAAUUGUGUGUCCCUUUUGUUUUAUCAAGAGAAAGGUAAGAAGAAUUUGGAGAUUAGCAUGGAAUUUAACUCCUCGUAAAGACAGAUAUAGUUUUUAAUUUGGAAAACAAUAAGCAAUAUCUGUAAAAAUUGAUAACUUUAACAAGUUCAAUAAAAGUUGUUAGAAGGUUCCAGGGGAAGAAGUCAGGUCUUAGCGCUGUUUUUUUUCAGGUUUGUGAAACUGGAUUGUGUUUGAGACAAGCAGAGCUUUCCAGAUGGUAUUUAUAAGCUGUUUUUAUAGAAAUUUGCAACAUAUCAAUUUGUGUUUGGAGUUGACUAAUUAGCUUCUGAAUCUGUAAGUUUUUGUACAUGGGGUUAUUGGUAUUAAUCUAAUCCAGGUUUUGCUGGUGUGUUUGUUCAUUUCCAUACUUGUUGCUGUCUUCCCCCUUUUCUGUGAGAGACACUGGUUAUGUCUCAAGUCCGGUGGCAGAGUGGAGAGACGAGAAAGAGGUGGCUUCCAGCAGGUGAAGUGCAAUGUUCAUAAGUCUUUCCUUUGGUUCACCAUUGCUUUUUGUGGGUCUGGUAAAGCUAGAGUCCCAGACCUCUAAGAUCUGAAGUGAAAGGACAGGUGGGUUGCAGUAAAAUAUCAGAAAACAGCGAGAAUGGAAGGAUAGAAUCCUAGCCUUGCCCACAGAAAUGGUAAACCAAGUGAGUAUCUUUCUAAGAACCUAAAGACUACAGCUCGGUUGGACUUUGGAUUUUCUGUUGCGUAUUCAUAAAUGGAAAGCACCUCUUUAAUACCUUGUAGCAUUUAACAGGGUCACAUUAUAAAUAAAGCCAGGCACAUUUUUUUUAAGGACAUACUCAGGAUUUUUUUUGUUUCCAUUUUAAAAAUACUCUGCACAAUCACUGGGGCGGGGGAGGAAUUGGCCAACUACUGCCAUAGAUUUUAGCUCCAUAGCUAAUUAGAGUGUCCCAGAAUUGAGUACAUUGAUUCAAGUGAAAUGAGCCAGCCAGUGGGAGAUAGAACUGGUGAGGUGGAGGAAUUCAUUUAAAUUAACAAGACUUUAUUUGUUUGUUUUCUUUUCUUGUUAUUUUAUUUUAUUUUAUUUUAUUGUUGUUUUGUUUUGUUUUAUUUUAUUUUAUUUUUGUAGCUGAUUUACCUGUGAGCUGACAUUUAUGAAAGGUGGGCAGGCCUUUGAGAUCCUUUAUUACUUACAUAAGGAUCCUAAAUCACCUUCACUAGAAUUGACAGAUGGCUCCCAAGGGACAAGAAAGUUUCUCUGCUGCACCCACAGGGACUGUAUCCCAGGGGACAUAAGUAAUUUGCUGGUCAAACUGAACACCUGCUAGAACUAGAGUAAUGCCCCCUUGAGCAGUAGGCCGUGGGCCACCAUUGUCCCCUGGCCCUGACUGAGGUGUUACACUUCUGGGCCUUUGUGCGGAUCAGAUGGUAUCAUGCGCCUGAUGACUGGAUCUCAGGGCGGUGUCAGCUUUCUGAUCACACUGCAUGGACCCUAGCCCAAAAAAAUUUCUGGCACUGGCAUCCUUGAUUUUUAAAAUUUGAACAAUCGAGGGGAAAAAAAAAUAUAUGUAUACAUACACACACACAGAAAGGCAGAAUUUAUAGACAGUUACUCCAGAAGAAUCAUGCAGCUGCCUGUGAGAUGACAACUCUAUCUUAGCAACCUGAAAUAGCCAAUGUAGAAUUUUUCAAAAAUGUUCUUAUUGAUUCUGCUUUGUUUUGCUUUAUUGUUUGUGUUUUGAAUCCCGCCUGCAAGUAGCAGAAAGGGUUUGAAAAUGCUAACCCACUGAUUAGGGAGACAAGAAAUGGCCAGGUCGCUCUGCUGAUUAGUCUGUAGGAAAAGGUAUUAUUCCCAUUGGGACACAUGUCUCCAGGGUCACUCAAACUUCUGUACAUCUUAUGGGGAGGACUAAAUGCUCUUUUUUUUUUUUUUUUUUUUUUCUGGAUACUCUUUUCAAGGAAAUUGUGUAGUAAACGACCUGCAAAAUAAUGAUAGUAUCUCUCUCUGGAGUAGAAAGUGGACCUACUUAUUAUCCAGUAUAGUAAAGACACUGUCUCCCAUCAGGACAAACGGAAGGUUGGCUUGCAGAUCCUUGGAAAAGAUCUGGGUUCCCUGAGCUCGGGGUCCUCAGCUGUGAUGCAGAAAUGCUGUACCUGGGGCCUCUGCCGUGGUCUGGGCAGUUCAUCCCCUGGGAGCUGGGGGUGAAGAGAAACUGACAUAACCGUGAUACCCAGACUUCAUCCUGCCUGGGCUCUGAGUCAUACAGUUAUUUUAUCUCUGCGUUAGCAGUCUUGUAUCUUCUGCCAGCAUCUUUGACGUGGUGGCAAGCUAACCUUUUAACUUGUAAGCUGGGUGAAAUCUUGGACCUGCCACCGUUUUUGCGUCUCUGUCACUAGAGAAGAACCUCCUUUCAUAAAAUUGGUGGAGAAGGCACUGAAAUUCGUGGAUGAUAUGUGCAUAUUUAUUAUACAGAGUUGGUAAUUUGUAUUUUAAUUCUGUCACACCAUAUGAAUGCCUGGAGUUUUCCAAGUAUUUGUGACUUAUUAUAUCAUUCUCUAUAAAAACCCACCUCCCAUAAAAAGGAUUUUGGCUUUGGUCCGCUGAAUUUUAUCUGGUGUUAGAGCAGUUUGUGAUUUGUUAGCUGAAUGUCUACCAGUAGCUUUCUGCAAGCUAAGAAAAAAUAUAAAUACUAUCUAUUUAUCUGUAUAUGAAAUACCUUCUCAAUUGUCCAGCCAACUCAGCUAUUUUGGAGGAAUUACUUUCCUUAUGAGUGAGGGUUUUUUUCAUGUCUGCAAAAAAGCAGGCACCGCUAAGUCAACGUAUUUCAUAAGGGUCAGACAUGUCCUCCAGACAUCUUGUUUUGUAGUCAAGAAUUGCCUUAACUCUUUUUCAUAAUAAUGCCCUUGAACUGACCUUUGAAGGAUUUAUAUAUCAUUUCAAAAAAAAAAAAAAUGAGUGAAAAGGGUGACAUUCCAUGUCAAAAGGGAAAACAAACCAGCCAGUAUGAUCUCCAGGCUGCUUCCGGGAAGCCAUGCGGGACUCACAGACACACCUGAGUGCCCCCCACCCCGCCCCCACCCGCUGCACUGCACAGGCAGUCCACUGCAACAGGGCAGGUGGGGCUGAGGACUGCCAGCUGGUGGGCUGGCUGCUAUGUCACUUGCCCCAGGUAGGGUGGGUUCUGGCUAUCUAGCAGCUGUACCAUCUGGGGUUGAUAAGACACUUGUAUUUAAGAAUAGGGUGGGUUCCACACUCCUGGCUUGGGGACAUUUCUCUGUUCAGGGGUACACUCUAGAUUUUCAAAGAGUAGCACAUUUUUGGGUGUGGUGGGUGAGGUCUCCGAGAGAGUAAGCAGAGUGUACUCCUUUUACCGCUAAUGUUGGUGUAACUCCGUGGUUCUCAAAAGUGUGGUCCCCCGAGCAGUGGUAACAGCAUCACUUGGCAGUUUUUCAGAAAUGCACACCUUUGGCCCCAUGUGAGAACUACUGAUCUAGAAAAUCUGGGGUGUGUCCCAGCGAUGUAUAGUUUAACACCGUGCUGCCACCCGCCCCACCCCUGCCAGGUGAUUCUGGUGUGCCCUGGACUUUGAGACCCGUAAGUGUGGUUCACUGUGUCUCAAGUCAGAGGAGGAGGGGGUUAGUUUGGUUACAAGUAGGAAAAGAACAGAUUACGAGUGGUGGUGUCAAAUGUACAAAGAAACACCUGUAGCAUUUAUGAAACAAAUCUAUUGGGUUCUUUUUUAAUUUAAGAAAAUAUACCUAAUGCUGGUCCUGUGCCAGGCACUGUUAGGGUACAAAUAUGAAUGAGACAUUGCACAGACAUCUCAGAUUCUAUUAUCGAGUUGGACAAUCUAUGCCUGUGGGCAAAAUCCAAUUUGCCACAUGUUUUUAUAAAGUUGUAUUAGGCUACAGCCACAUCUAUUCAUUUGCAUAUUGUCCAUGGCUACUUUUAGACAAUAAUUCAGAGUUGAGCAGUGCCACAAAGACCGUAUAACCCACAAAGCUGAAAACAUUUAAUUGUGGUGCUUUAAUAAAAGUUUGCUGAUACCAGGUCUAGUAUUUAAAGGGCAAAUACUCCCUACAUCCAAGUAGUUUUACACAAAUGGAGUUGAGAUUAAGUGUACAUGCAGGGAUUCUUCUGUCAUGAAGUGUUGCAUUUGUAUAGAACUUUUUCAGUGGCAAAAAUAAUUAGCUUCAUGGAUGUUAUUAUCAUGGACGGUGUCGACUGUUUGACAAGAAGCAGAGUAUUUACCAGCCAAAUACCUUUAGUGUGAGGGGCAGAGGGAGUAUAGGAACAAACAGAAAUAAUGGAAGGAAAAAUUAAGAAAGGUGAAAAAGAAGGUUUUGUUUGAGAAGGGAGAGUAUUAUCAAUCAAAGGGUUGUGACAUGUGAAAACUAAGAUAAAGCAAUGUAUGUUACGAUAGGGCUCAGAAAUGAACUAGGAAAGAAAGAGGUGCAGGUUUAAAGCAUUCCUGGCUGCCUGGUGUGGGGAGUGGACAAACAAGUCCCCCAGGGAAUUCUGUCCCUUCUGAGAGGCAGGACAAGGGGCAGACUCUAAUAAAUCAGGCUGGGGAGAGCCACUCCUCUACUCCAAAGUUGGCGUUACCUGUUACCUUCACGCUGGUCAAUAGUUGGGAUCUCUGAAUUUCUUACUCUGCCCUAUAUUCUUGCUGCUAACGGACCAGCUGUGCAGUGAGCCCAGAGAGAAAGCCCCAAGUUUCCCUUUAAGAAGCCUGGGUUACUUCUGGCUUCACCUCUGGCUGAUGACUUUGGGCAGAUCGUUUAUUUCAUGGCUUGGGGUCUCCGCUUCCUCAUUUUCAAGGUGCUGUUUCAGAUUUCCAGCUGCACACACAUUAUUUUUCUGCCCGACUCCCUUAUCAUCGAGAGGUGAGCGAGGGGCACAGAGCGUUUCCCCAGCUCCUUAGCUGAGAAAAGAAAAGAGUAGCAGACACCUGGACCCUUCCGAAGAAGAGAUUUGGUGGAUAGUUUGGUUUCCUUAAAAAGAUUUGAUGUGGAUUUGUUUCUACCUCAUACCGAAUGAUAGGUCUCUCCUCCUCCUGAAGAGAUUCUUCACGGAAGAGUGGGAGAGUGGGAAAUGGCCAGCCUAAUGCCAUGUCUGUGAUCGUAUUUCUCAAUC